ensembl:lncRNA
AUGGAGGGAUGGGAACUCCCCAGGGAGCACAGCCACAAGGAGGCCCGGCGGCGCAAGAGGACGGGGAGACCAGGCCUCGGAGGCAGUGGACCCGGCUCCACUACGACAGUCUGCGCGGAGGCCGCUUGCCUCCCGCCUCCCGAGACGCUCCCCACCCCCCACGUCCCAGCCUUUCGUACGACUCGUCGCGGAAAAUGGUCGCACUCCCUCGUCUCUUCAUCUAACCUCAGAGGGAGCCACGUCAGAACCAGCGUCCCUGAAAGGCGCCAUGUUGCCCAUUGGCUGUCUUGCCAUCCCCCCAGCCCCCUCACCUCCCUCCUGCGCGUGCGCAGCACUUGGGCUCCCAGGGCAACGGAGAGCGGAAGUGUUCUGCUCACCCCGAGGGCGGUGCGAAUUGGCGCUGGCUGUUUUACGCCCUCAGACCUCGGGUUCCUGUUAGUUUAGGUCAGGGUUCAUAACAGCCAACAGCUCACCAGCUUCAGAUGCCAGCUGAUCUACCAUGGGCUUCCUUAGUUAGUCUACAGAAGACCCAGUCUGAGACCUCAAGAGGAGGUGAGUUUGCCUGGUUGAAGGUAGAGACAUGGUCCUGAAGGGAAGGUCCUAGCAAAGGUAUCUUUGUCUUUGAAUCCUUGGGUCCUGCCUCCUUAGUAAUAAGACAGCUCAUUUGGGAAUUCCCUGGUGGUCCAGUGGUUAGGACUCUAUGCUUUCACUGCUGAGGGUCCAGGGUUCGAUCCUUGGUAAGGGAACUAAGAUCCCACAAGCCGAGCAGCCAGACCGAAAAAACAAAAAACCCUAAACCCCAAAAAGACAGCUUCUCUGAGGGGAGUUGGAAGAGAAGCACCAGACCAGACCUCAGGGCAGAGUGGGGAGAUCCACAGGACAGACUCAAAUGCUCUAGUUAGAGGAAAGUGGCUCACAGUAUAGCAGGUUCUAGAAGAACUGAACCUGCAGUGCCCUCUGUCCCUUCCUUCAGCUGAAAGAGAGCAAGACUUCUAGCCACCAUCAAGAGCUAUGUCAUGGUGGUCAGUUGAACCUCUAUUGCAGGAGAGAGAUGAAAGUUAUGGAUGGAUGGAGGGAUGCUGCCCUGUGGUAGUGCUAGCAAGGACAUGAUCAGGCUGGAAAGAUUGACUCCCUACCUCCCAGGACUUUCUCCACUCUAAACACAUUUGUGCACACAACAUUUGUGCUCCCCUCUUGUGCUGUGGGCUAUUUCAGUCAGUCCCAUAGUAGGAACAAUCCACUUGUCUAUAGCAGAAAUGUUGAAUCUCCUCUGCCCUGACUAAAUGACUAAAUGUUUUUGGUUUCUGCAUGUCUGUGAAAUCUCAGAGUAGUCUCUAGGUAGCCAUCACCUAACUAUGCUACCCCAUUUUCAUGCUAGUAACUGGGUCUGGAAGCAUGACUCAUUAAGCUCCAUCUUGCUGAACCCUGUGGUUCUGAUACUAAGGCAGGGAUUGCUAGAGUGGCAGUGGUUGACAAAAGCUCCUUGCUGAAAAUUUGUUUUGAAAACUGCCAAAUAAGGAAGAGCUUGGCAAUCAAAUGGCCAUGAUGGGAAAUAAGGAAGUAUUAGGGAGGGAACAGGGAGCUGGUGGGCUGGAAGGACCGGGGUGGGAGGGAGCAAGGUCAGUGGUUUCCAGUUCCGUGUGGACGUGACCAAUGCCAGGCCCUUAACCUCCCUCCAUCCCCCUACCUUUCACCCUCCACCCCUUUCCCUUCCGCCCUGCACUCAGCCCUGGUUAGUCUCCUUCCUCCAAACCGCAAGUUGUCCCUGUCUCCAGACUGCUCAGGGUGUGUCACUUCAAGGGCUCAGUGUGAUAAUUAGGUGAUUUGUAAUGAUUUCUCCUUUUUAUUUUACUAGUAAUUAAUAUUGUCAAAAAUGAUAAAAUGCAAGUAAGCAAAAAAGGAAAGGUGAAAUCAACCCUCAAAGGUAAGCAGGGUCAACAUUUUAAUAGAUGUUCUUCAGUACAUGCAUAUAGCUUAACAAAGGAGAUCCCACCCACCUGCUUUCUGGUAACCUACUUUUAAAUAUGUUAAGACAUGAGAACAGGAUUCCGUUGCAUUUUUAAAGCCCAUGUGGUAUUUCCCAUUUUGUGUGUCUUAUUUUUUUUAAACUUGAGUCCCCUUUACUGGAGGUUUAGUUGCUUCCAGAUUGUUGAAUGGUGGAAACACCUAAAGUUAACAUCUUUGCAAAUAAAUUAUGAUAAAUUCCCAGGCAUAGAAUUCUUGAGAGAAAGGAAAUAUCAGGUUGUUAAUGGCUUCUGAGUAGAAGUCUUUAAACACAAGUCAUAUAUCUGUCUAGGGAGAGAAAAUCAAUUCCCAUGAGACUGUGCAAAAUCAUGGGAUCUUAGCCAAGGGAACAGCCUGGAGCUACCAAGCCUUCUGUUCUGAUCAUCCUCACUGUGGGGCAGGGGUGAUUGUUAUUAGGUUGGUGAUGGUGGUCUCAGGGCUGUGUGCAAUGACCUCAACCCUCCUGAUUCUGCCUUCCUAGAUCUCCAUCCUUGGUCUGAGCAGGACUGAUGGUCAUGUCCCAGGUGAGUUCCUAAUUUACCCCUACUUUGUUUCCAGUUAAUUUGAGGCAGCAAUUAGGAAAUUAUAUGGUAACCUUGAAAAAAUAUCUGUUAGUUCCCUCAGCUCUGGCUGUUUUCUGCUCAACCUGUCAUCCACCUCAGGUUUCUCCAGUCCUUCCUCUUUUCACCAAAA